rnacentral:rRNA from 1 species
GGCGAACGCUGGCGGCGUGCCUAAUACAUGCAAGUAGAACGCUGAAGAGAGGAGCUUGCUCUUCUUGGAUGAGUUGCGAACGGGUGAGUAACGCGUAGGUAACCUGCCUUGUAGCGGGGGAUAACUAUUGGAAACGAUAGCUAAUACCGCAUAACAAUGGAUGACACAUGUCAUUUAUUUGAAAGGGGCAAUUGCUCCACUACAAGAUGGACCUGCGUUGUAUUAGCUAGUAGGUGAGGUAACGGCUCACCUAGGCGACGAUACAUAGCCGACCUGAGAGGGUGAUCGGCCACACUGGGACUGAGACACGGCCCAGACUCCUACGGGAGGCAGCAGUAGGGAAUCUUCGGCAAUGGGGGCAACCCUGACCGAGCAACGCCGCGUGAGUGAAGAAGGUUUUCGGAUCGUAAAGCUCUGUUGUAAGUCAAGAACGAGUGUGAGAGUGGAAAGUUCACACUGUGACGGUAGCUUACCAGAAAGGGACGGCUAACUACGUG